rnacentral:rRNA from 1 species
GACGAACGCUGGCGGCGUGCUUAACACAUGCAAGUCGAGCGGAAAGGCCCUUCGGGGUACUCGAGCGGCGAACGGGUGAGUAACACGUGAGUAACCUGCCCUUGGCUCUGGGAUAGCUCCGGGAAACCGGAAUUAAUACCGGAUAUGACCUCGGCCGACAUCGGCUGUGGUGGAAAGAUUUAUCGGCCAGGGAUGGGCUCGCGGCCUAUCAGCUAGUUGGUGGGGUAACGGCCUACCAAGGCGACGACGGGUAGCCGGCCUGAGAGGGCGACCGGCCACACUGGGACUGAGACACGGCCCAGACUCCUACGGGAGGCAGCAGUGGGGAAUAUUGCGCAAUGGGCGAAAGCCUGACGCAGCGACGCCGCGUGAGGGAUGAAGGCC